GUGUUCCAUAAUGCGCUCCUUUUAUAAGCAACUGACGUUUUUCAUUUCUUUACGUGUUUUUUUUUUUUUUUAAUUUAUUGAUCUCAAUUGGAUGAAAAUUUAUAAAUCAAUACAUACUUUAAUCAAAAUCUAUUUUGUUAUGUUCGAAAUUUUUACUAUUCGGCAACAUAGUAUAGGUAUUGAAGUAAAAAUGUAGUUUUGUGUCCGUUCCUUAUAAAGGGAGUGUACAUCCGAAUUCGAGGUGACUCAAGUAAAAAGAACUACCGCGUAUUAAAAAAGAUGUGAAAGAAGUUGCUUAUUACAAGAUUGAUUAAGUUUGCCGAUGAUUUAACGUCAGGAGAAUAACCAGUAGAUUGAUCAAUCAGGUGAAUCCAAGGGGAAGAAGAAGAAGAAAGAGAAGGCGGAUGCAAUGGUGCGGCAGAGGUAUUUCAACCCCAGGAGGCAUCUUGACGCCGGGACGAGCGGAAAUUCUGUUAUCGUAUGACGGAGGGAAGAAGAGGGUAGAGAAGAGGAUAAAAAUAAAAAGAGACAAGUUGGAUGCUGUUCAUGCGUGUGUGGCACGACCGUAUUUCAAUUGAGGCCCAAAAGUCGAAUAUGCUGGUGAGUAUCAGCGAGGAGUUGGCAAGAUGAGAGAACAAGUACUGAGAGAAGAGCAAGAAGAGACUGGGAUCGAGGUUCUCAAGUCCUCUGUGUGCGAGUGUGUGGCUCUUUAGCGGCUGUACGGAUGUACGGGUGUAUGGCUCACUGGAUGCUGUAGACCAGAGUUACCAAAGACCGAAGACCGAAGACUGAGGAUUGGGACGAGACUGGAGACUGGAGACUGGAGAUAGUUUGACUCUGGUAACUCGGGUUCGGUGGUAUGGCAUAGCAUGGAUGAUGUUGGUCUGUGCACACUCAUGAGACGCGAGCGAGUGUGUUCGGUGUCGGGUCGUAGACCACAGAGAGUCAGCGCUGAGCAGCGGGCAACCGGUCAGGCAACUUUUUAACGAGCUGCGGUUUAGUUGUGCACGAGAGAAGUUAAGACCGAGAAGAAGAUGAACAACAAGGAGAAGAAAAACAAGAGGAAGAGUUGAGGAAAACCGAGACCCUGAGCUUGAACUGAGUUGAGCCAUCUUCGCUUCCCGAACAAAUCCACGCGCGCCAUAUGAUACUAUCCAUAUAUAUGUACAUACAUAUAUAUAUACAUAUAUACAUGUUUGUUAUUACCUUUUGCAUCUUUUCUGAUUUAUUUUUCUUUGAGUUCAUCCAUAAAUUUUUCAAAAUAAUUUAAUUUAUAGAAGAUAAUUUUUAUUUUUUUAAAUAUUUAAAUUUUAUUUUUAUUAAAUCAUAUAAAUUGAUUAUGGGCAAUAAGACCGCGAUAAUUAAAAAAAAAUUGCAAUCAUAAAACAUGAGAUUAAAAGUUGAAUUUAAAUGACAAUAUAUUUUAAUAAUCGUUACUCAUAAUUUUACUUUUAAAUUAAAUGUUGAAGCUGACGGGAAUUUAUUCUCUUAUUAAUCUACAUUAUUAAAACAAUAAGUAAAAUUUUGAUCCCGCCAUAUCUAUAUGAUAGAAUUAGUUAAUGUUAUUUAAAUUGGUAUCAUUAGAUAGGUCUUGACUUGAAUUUGUGCCUUUUUAUAUUUUAAACUUUUUUCAUUGCCAAGUAUUGAGGUAAAUAGAUUUAUCUAUCAUUCGAAUCACAUUUAAAAUACGCGGGAAAAAUAAUAUCGUAUUUAUUUUCUUUAAAUAAAUUAAUACUUUAAUUAUUCUGUCACUAAAUAUGACUGAAUGCCACUGAAUAUAUAGCUAUAUUAUUUAUAUCGCGUUACUUAUUCCAAAAUGACAGAUUUUUCUACUCCCUUUUGGUUUUAGGAAGCUUCUCAAAGCCAAAAACGUGUACAAAGAAAAAAAAAGGAUUCAUUGACACAAAAAAUCUUUACUCGCCUAAAGAAAAUUUUUACUUACCCCAAGAAAUUUUUUGCAUUGUGAAUUGAAAACAAAAAUUUAUUUAAAACUAGAAAAAAUUACUUGGUGCAAGGAAUUAUUUCUUGACCAAAAAAAUCUUUUCUCGCCCCAAGAAAAUUUUUGUAUUUAAUUGAUAAUGCAUAAAAUUUCUUGGUGCAAAUUAAAAUUUUUUGCGGCAAGAAAUCCUUUUUUUCUGCGUAUUUUAUAAAUUUAAUAGUGAUAUUUGGGCAUGUAGUGACUGCAGGUUGCUCGUUAUUGUUAUAUUUUUUUUUAAAUAAAAAUCAAAGUAUGGCUGUCAAAAAAUAUGACUGAAGUCUAUUGAUUACAAGUUCAGUUUGAUAACAUGAGAUUUCAGUGACGUAAAAAAAAUUCAAAUAGAAAUUAAAAAAAAGAAAUUUUGAAUUUCAGAUUUCCGGGUUGAAAAAAUUAAUUUUAAAUCGAUGCCUGAUAAAAAUCAAUUGAAUAUUUAAAAAAAAAUUAUAAUUUUUUUUUUUUAAAUAAGAAACAUUCAGUCGAUCUUAGAAAUGUUUUAUUACGGACAUUAAUGAAUUUUUAAAACUCAAGUUUAGUAUGAUAAAGUUUUUUUUUUAUUUGUAAUAUUUGAAGUCAUAAUCAGUAAAAAAAAAACGCAACCAUCUGACAUGAGGUCGAUGAUUAAAUUAAAAUCUAAAAAUAAAAUAAAAAUCUUGUUAUUUAAUAUUGAUACUUAAUCAUUUACUAUUUAAUAUUCACUUCCUAUUAUGACGUCAUUUAUUAUUAAUUAGUAGCUAUUUAUUGUUCAUUAUUAAUUUAUUAUCACUUGUCAUUUAUUAAUUAAAACUUUUUUAUUCAACACCGAGCAUUAAAUUUGAAUUCAUUUUGUCAGCGAUAAAUUACUCAAUUUUUUUUUCAUUUUAUAUCAAUAAUUUAUGAUAAAUAUUCAGAAAAAGUAUGAAGCUGAGUUUUUAAAAUAAAUAGUACGAGUAUUUAAGUUUAAAAUUUGCGCAUGCGCACUAG